AUUAAGAUACACACUAGGAAGAGAGGCUUAAAACAGAUCCUUCGCUGCCCAUAGAAGGAAUCAAUCCUGCUGAUGUCUUGAGUUUGGAUGUAUAGCCCACAGAUGAGCAAAAAGAAGUUCAAAGAAUGGCUGUUGUCUCCAAGAAGCUUGUGAUUUCAGGAGAGAGAUGAAGAAUGCCCACAAGAGGAGCUGCAUUCUGGAGCCAGGCAGUGCAGUGGAGUGUAUCCCAAGGAGAUGUAGUUACCAACCUUGCAUACCAAAACAAGAGCAAUCCAGACAUCAGAGUACCGGGAA